rnacentral:rRNA from 1 species
ACAUGAAGCCGGAAUCGCUAGUAAUCGCGGAUCAGAAUGCCGCGGUGAAUACGUUCCCGGGUCUUGUACACACCGCCCGUCACGCCAUGGGAGCCGGUAAUGCCCGAAGUCUGUGGCCCAACCGAAAGGAAGGAGCAGCCGAAGGCAGGCCCGGUGACUGGGGUGAAGUCGUAACAAGGUAGC